rnacentral:rRNA from 1 species
CCCGCUGAACUUAAGCAUAUCAAUAAGCGGAGGAAAAGAAACUAACAAGGAUUCCCUUAGUAGCGGCGAGCGAAGCGGGAAGAGCUCAAAUUUGAAAGCUGGCGUCCUUCGGGCGUCCGCAUUGUAAUCUAUAGAGGCGUUUUCUGUGCUGGACCGUGUCCAAGUCCCUUGGAACAGGGUAUCAAAGAGGGUGACAAUCCCGUACUUGACACGACAACCAGUGCUCUGUGAUACGUCUUCUACGAGUCGAGUUGUUUGGGAAUGCAGCUCAAAAUGGGUGGUGAAUUCCAUCUAAAGCUAAAUAUUGGCGAGAGACCGAUAGCGAACAAGUACCGUGAGGGAAGGAUGAAAAGCACUUUGGAAAGAGAGUUAAACAGUACGUGAAAUUGUUGAAAGGGAAACGUUUGAAGUCAGUCGCGUCGGCCGAGACUCAACCUUGCUUCUGCUCGGUGCACUUCUCGGUUGACGGGUCAGCAUCAAUUUUGACCGCCGGAUAAAGGUCGGGGGAAUGUGGCAUCCUUCGGGAUGUGUUAUAGACCUCGAUUCGGAUACGGCGAUUGGGAUUGAGGAACUCGGCGCUUUGCGUCCAGGAUGCUGGCAUAAUGGCUUUAAGCGACCCGUCUUGAAACACGG